rnacentral:rRNA from 1 species
AUGGCUGCCCGAGGCCGUCAGAUCCGUCACCGUCGUCGUUCUUUUGGUCGAGGUAGUCGUCGUCCAUGUGCUCCUCUUCACCACCACGGCUGGACGCUGGUGAGGCUAGCCUCCCCCUCCAAGCGCAGGAAAGUGCUGUUCAUACAUCGCCAAUUAUGGAUAUGGAUCCAUCUUGCUGCACUGGACGAAGGGUUGGAUGGAAUAAGAAUUUCUUCCUCUAGAGAUCGGGCUGGGCUUGACUGGGUUCUUGGAGUCCUCUUCUCGUUUCUUAGGAUCCUCUUGUUGUUUGACAAGGGGUUCCUUGCAAUGGGAAAUGUAAGAACCAUCCUCCUGGUUUACUGUUACGUCUUGAGCUUGCGUUGGUUUUCCCCGAAGAGGAAGGGGUGA